UCCUGCAGUUUUGUUCAGUGACUUUAACUGAGGAAGACUGGCACAGGCAAUGAACUUCAAAUUUUUCUUUUCUUUUCUUGAGAGGAGGGUGUGAUUUGGCCGUCUGAGGAUCUCUCGCCUGGCUUUUUGAAGCUUUCAGCUGGCUCUGAGGGCCAUAUCCUGUUCCAGCUGUAUCUGCACAAGUGUAGCAGAGUCCUUUGCUAGUAUGUGACCAGUGGCACUGAGACAAAGGA
rnacentral:lncRNA from 1 species